UCCCCAUUCACAUUGCUUCAUUAAAACAAAUCGAAAUAGAAAAAAGUCUAACACUUUAUGAAAAAAAUGGGAGAAACCAUUUCUGAAGCUUCAUCCUCAGCAUCUAAAUUGAAGAAUCAAGAAGAUAGUUUUUACCUUCAUAUACAUCCUCAAGAGCUACACUUUCCACUUGAGUUGAAGAAAAAUAUCUCAUGCUCUUUGCAGUUGUCUAACUAGUCAGAUAAUAAUUAUUUGGCUUUCAAGGCAAAGGAACAAAUUUCAGAGUUAACUGAAGAGAGAGAUUAUCUUAAGAAAGGCUUCAGCAAGCACUGGUAUGCCAUUCAUAACAUGAUCAUUGUUCGGUAAUCUUAAAUAUCUUGUCGUGUAAUCUUGGUUGUUAUCCUAUGAUCUUCAAUAUUGGUCAUGUGUUAAGUUAUUCAACUAUUUACAUCAACUUGAUUUCAUUUUUUUGGGUGUCCGAGAUUCAAACUCCGACCUCUGCAUAUAUUGUGCACUGUUUCAAUCAA